AUUGAACGCUGGCGGCAGGCUUAACACAUGCAAGUCGAACGAGCGGCGGACGGGUGAGUAAUGUAUGGGAACCUGCCUGAUGGAGGGGGAUAACUACUGGAAACGGUAGCUAAUACCGCAUACCAUCAGAUGGGCCCAGAUGGGAUUAGCUAGUUGGUGGGGUAAAGGCUCACCUAGGCAACGAUCCCUAGCUGGUCUGAGAGGAUGACCAGCCACACUGGAACUGAGACACGGUCCAGACUCCUACGGGAGGCAGCAGUGGGGAAUAUUGGACAAUGGGCGAAAGCCUGAUCCAGCCAUGCCGCGUGUGUGAAGAAGGCCUUCGGGUUGUAAAGCACUUUUAGCGAGGAGGCGGUACUUGCAGAAGAAGCACCGGCUAACUACGUGCCAGCAGCCGCGGUAAUUC
rnacentral:rRNA from 1 species